AGAAAUAUGUUUCCCCCAGUUUGUUUUCAGGUAGUUAAUGAAAUGGCCAUUUGAAAUUUGUGUUGGUCUUCCUAGCCAUCAAAUUUCCUCCCAACCAGUGUAUGAAGUUACACGAAGGGUGUGAUUUUCAUAAAGCUCUAAGAUUGUUGGGAUUUCCUGAUGCCAACACAAGCAAACAGGGAGCUUAAGAGAAAACCAGCCAAGGUUUCAUCUACAAGGGCCAAUUAGAGACAUAUCAUUUGAGUUGUAGAAAGCCUUUCACCCCUCCUGAAGUACCCUGAACAUUUCCACACUCUUGAGACUCUUGAUGUAUACAGUAUGGAAGAGUAUGUCCAAGAUGUCAGCAUAGAAGACCCUGAAAUCUGCCAUGGACACACUGCAUCUACACCUAUAUAGAGAACAAUUCCUUCUGAAGAACUGAGGGCUGAGUGGAUAGCUUUAGCACAACAAAUAAAAGAGGGACCACACAGAGAAGGGUAGGAAAGACAAAGACAAAGAGCUGAUGGGAACACCACCAAGGAUGCGACAACUCGCCUAUCGUGGGGCAAACCUAGAAAAAAAAGUACUUUAAGGGGUGAAAACUGUAAGCAAAGGAAAUCCAUCCACCAAUCAGGUAGGAAGCUAUUACAACUCUCUCUGAGGUCAAAGGCACAGAGAAAGGCCUUUUUAUUAGUUUAUUUCCCUCCUCCACUUUGAUAAUGUGGGUAGGAGCAGGAUCCAAGUGCUAUAGCUAGACUCCUAGGGCCCUCCAAGUGAACUCUAGGUCCGUAUAUCACACCUGCUCUAGCCAGCCUGCUGGGGCCACCAUAGUAUACCAUGGGAUCACUCAUUCUGAUUCCAGGUCCAGCAAGCCAGCCAAAUCUUUCAGACACACACAUUCUGAACAGAGGAUUCUCCGAAGUCCUCUUCUUAAAGGUUAGGAGAGGUAGAUGUUCUGCCUAAUUCAUGGAAACACAGAAAUUCAAACAAAAUGAGGAUACAAAGGAAUAUGCUCAAAAUGAAAGAAUAAGAUAAAACCACAGGGGAAAAAAAGAAAAAAAAAACUAAUGAAACAGAGAUAAUUUACCUAAUAUAAAGUUUAAUGAUUAUAUCUAUACCAUAAAACUUGCAAAAUCUUAGAACACAGGCACUAAUUUCUCUUACAUCAAAAUAGAAAGCUUCUAAACAGCAAAGGAAACUAUUAACAAAACAAAAAUCCAACCUCCUAAGAGAGAAAACAUAUGCAAAAGAUAUAUCCAGUAAGUGGUUAAUACCCAAAAUAUAUAAAGAGCUAAUACAACCUAACACCAAAAAAAAAAAUCCACCUAAAAAAGGGGCAGAAAAACUAAAUAGACAUUUUC